UACGGGGGGUGCGAGCGUUGUCCGGAAUCACUGGGCGUAAAGGGCGCGUAGGUGGUCUGAUAAGGGUGUGGUGAAAGCCCGGGGCUCAACCCCGGGUCGGCCGUGCCGACUGUUAGACUAGAGUGCUGUAGGGGCAGGCGGAAUUCCGGGUGUAGCGGUGGAAUGCGUAGAGAUCCGGAAGAACACCGGUGGCGAAGGCGGCCUGCUGGGCAGUAGCUGACACUGAGGCGCGACAGCGUGGGGAGCAAACAGG
rnacentral:rRNA from 1 species